rnacentral:rRNA from 1 species
AUUCGCGGCCUAUCAGCUUGUUGGUGAGGUAAUGGCUCACCAAGGCGUCGACGGGUAGCCGGCCUGAGAGGGUGACCGGCCACACUGGGACUGAGACACGGCCCAGACUCCUACGGGAGGCAGCAGUGGGGAAUAUUGCACAAUGGGCGAAAGCCUGAUGCGGCAACGCCGCGUGAGGGAUGACGGCCUUCGGGUUGUAAACCUCUUUUAGCAGGGAAGAAGCGAAAGUGACGGUACCUGCAGAAAAAGCGCCGGCUAACUACGUGCCAGCAGCCGCGGUAAUACGUAGGGCGCAAGCGUUAUCCGGAAUUAUUGGGCGUAAAGAGCUCGUAGGCGGUUUGUCGCGUCUGCUGUGAAAUCCCGAGGCUCAACCUCGGGUCUGCAGUGGGUACGGGCAGACUAGAGUGCGGUAGGGGAGAUUGGAAUUCCUGGUGUAGCGGUGGAAUGCGCAGAUAUCAGGAGGAACACCGAUGGCGAAGGCAGAUCUCUGGGCCGUUACUGACGCUGAGGAGCGAAAGGGUGGGGAGCAAACAGGCUUAGAUACCCUGGUAGUCCACCCCGUAAACGUUGGGAACUAGUUGUGGGGUCCAUUCCACGGAUUCCGUGACGCAGCUAACGCAUUAAGUUCCCCGCCUGGGGAGUACGGAAU